GACGGACGCUGGCGGCGUGCUUAACACAUGCAAGUUGAACGGAAAGGCCCUGCUUUUGUGGGGUGCUCGAGUGGCGAACGGGUGAGUAACACGUGAGUAACCUGCCCUUGACUUUGGGAUAACUUCAGGAAACUGGGGCUAAUACCGGAUAGGAGCUCCUGCUGCAUGGUGGGGGUUGGAAAGUUUCGGCGGUUGGGGAUGGACUCGCGGCUUAUCAGCUUGUUGGUGGGGUAGUGGCUUACCAAGGCUUUGACGGGUAGCCGGCCUGAGAGGGUGACCGGCCACAUUGGGACUGAGAUACGGCCCAGACUCCUACGGGAGGCAGCAGUGGGGAAUAUUGCACAAUGGGCGGAAGCCUGAUGCAGCAACGCCGCGUGCGGGAUGACGGCCUUCGGGUUGUAAACCGCUUUCGCCUGUGACGAAGCGUGAGUGACGGUAAUGGGUAAAGAAGCACCGGCUAACUACGUG
rnacentral:rRNA from 1 species